CGUCGGUUCAAUAUCAAAAUCCUAUCGCGGUGCUCUUCAGUGAGUGUCGAGAUGGGCCGACAAUUUUACUUUGAACAAAUUAGAGUGCUCAAAGCGGGCUCAAAAUGCUGCUUGAAUAUUUCGUGCAUGGAAUAAUAGAAUAUGAUCUCGGUUCUAUUUUGUUGGUUUUCAGAACUCCGAGGUAAUGAUUAAUAGGGAUAACUGGGGGCAUUCGUAUUGCGACGUUAGAGGUGAAAUUCUUGGAUCGUCGCAAGACGAACAUCAGCGAAAGCAUUUGCCAAAGGUGUUUUUGGUUUUCAGAACUCCGAGGUAAUGAUUAAUAGGGAUAACUGGGGGCAUUCGUAUUGCGACGUUAGAGGUGAAAUUCUUGGAUCGUCGCAAGACGAACAUCAGCGAAAGCAUUUGCCAAAGGUGUUUUCAUCAAUCAAGAACGAAAGUUAGAGGUUCGAAGGCGAUUAGAUACCGCCCUAGUUCUAACCGUAAAUAUGUCAUCUAGCGAUCCGCCGACGUUACUACAAUGGCUCGGCGGGCAGCUUUCGGGAAACCAAAGAUUUUGGACUCCGGGGGGAGUAUGGUUGCAAAGCUGAAACUUAAAGGAAUUGACGGAAGGGCACCACCAGGAGUGGCCUGCGGCUUAAUUUGACGCAACACGCCAACACGGGAAAUCUCACCAGGCCCGGACACCGGAAGGAUUGACAGAUUAACAGCUCUUUCUUGAUUCGGUGGGUGGUGGUGCAUGGCCGUUCUUAGUUGGUGGAGCGAUUUGUCUGGUUAAUUCCGGUAACGAACGAGACUCUAGCCUGCUAAAUAGGCGUCGUCAUUUAGGUGUGCGUGGCUCACGUCACGCAACUCACUGGCGACGUAUUAAAAUUCUUCUUAGAGGGACCGGCGGCUUCGAGCCGCACGAGAUUGAGCAAUAACAGGUCUGUGAUGCCCUUAGAUGUCCUGGGCCGCACGCGCGCUACACUGAAGGAAUCAGCAUGUUCUCCCAGGCCUAGAGGCCCGGGCAACCCGUUGAAACUCCUUCGUGCUGGGGAUUGGGGUUUGCAAUUAUCCCCCAUAAACGAGGAAUUCCUAGUAAGCGCGAGUCAUAAGCUCGCGUUGAUUACGUCCCUGCCCUUUGUACACACCGCCCGUCGCUACUACCGAUUGAAUGAUUUAGUGAGGUCUUCGGACCGACACGCGGUGGCUUCACGGCCGUCGGCGUUGCUGGGAAGUUGACCAAACUUGAUCAUUUAGAGGAAGUAAAAGUCGUAACAAGGUUUCCGUAGGGGAACCUGCGGAAG
rnacentral:rRNA from 1 species